CCUACGGGGCGCAGCAGUGGGGAAUAUUGCACAAUGGGGGAAACCCUGAUGCAGCGACGCCGCGUGAGUGAAGAAGUAUUUCGGUAUGUAAAGCUCUAUCAGCAGGGAAGAAGAAGGACGGUACCUGACUAAGAAGCCCCGGCUAACUACGUGCCAGCAGCCGCGGUAAUACGUAGGGGGCAAGCGUUAUCCGGAUUUACUGGGUGUAAAGGGAGCGUAGACGGCUGUGCAAGUCUGAAGUGAAAGCCCAGGGCUCAACCCUGGGACUGCUCUUGGAACUGCGUGGCUAGAGUGCAGGAGGGGCA
rnacentral:rRNA from 1 species